GACGAACGCUGGCGGCGUGCUUAACACAUGCAAGUCGAACGGAAAUGCCCUGCUUUUGUCGGGUGCGCGAGUGGCGAACGUGUGUAACACACGUGAGUCACCUGCCCUUCACGUUGGGAUAACUUCAGGAGACUGGUGAUGAUAGCGGAUAAGCGCUCCUGCUGCAUGUUUGGGGUUGGAAAGUUUCGGCGGUUGGGGAUGGACUCGCGGGUUAUCAGAAUGUGGCGGGGGUAGUGGCUGACCAAGGCUUGAGCGGGUAGCGGGCCUGAGAGGGGGACCGGCCAAAUGGGGACUGAGAUACGGCCGAGACUCGUACGGGAGGCAGCAGUGUGGAAUAAUGCACGAUGGGGGGAAGCCUGAUGCAGCAAGGCCGCGUGAGGGAUGAUGGCCUUCGUGUUGUAGACCGCUUUCGCAGGUGACGAUGUGUGAGUGACGGUAAUGGGUAAAGAAGCACCGGCUAACUACGUG
rnacentral:rRNA from 1 species